rnacentral:lncRNA from 1 species
UGUCUAUACCUAAAAAGAUUCAAGAUAUAACUAUGAAUACCAGUCUAACAUUUUUAAGAGAGGUACACUAGGCCGGCGCCACGGCUCACUAGGCUAAUCCUCCGCCUUGCGGCACCGGCACACCAGGUUCUAGUCCCGGUUGGGGCACCGGAUUCUGUCCCAGUUGCCCCUCUUCCAUGCCAGCUCUCUGCUGUGGCCAGGGAGUGCAGUGGAGGAUGGCCCAAGUACUUGGGCCUUGCACCCCAUGGGAGACCAGGAGGAAGCACCUGGCUCCUGGCUUCAGAUCAGCGCGGUGCGCCGGCCGCAGUGCGCCAGCCGUGGUGGCCAUUGGAGGGUGAACCAACAGCAAAGGAAGACCUUUCUCUCUGUCUCUCUCUCUCACUGUCCACUCUGCCUGUCAAAAAAAAAAAAAAAAAAAAAAAAGGGAGGUACACUACGAGUAAAGGAAAAACUAGAUUUCUCAUCAAUUCAGGGGUAUGUGUUCUUUGAAAUUAUUUUUAUUGGAAUUUAGAAGGUGGAGCUGGCAUUGUGAUGCAGCAGUUUAAAAGUUGCUGCUUGCCAUGCUGGCUUCUCCCAUGAGUGUCUAUUCAGGUUACAGCUACUCUGCUUUUGAGUCAUGUUCCAGCUCCUUGGUUAAACAGCUGCGAAAGCAGCAGAAGCAGAAGAUGGUGCAAAUGCUGGUGCCCCUGCCACCCAUGUCGGAGACCUGGAUGGCGUUUCCAGGAUCCUAGCUUUGGCCUGGCCCAGCCCUGGCUGUUGGAUGUAAACCAGGGUAUUACAUGCCUUCUUCUUUCCCUCUUUCUGCACCUAUGACUUUCAAACAGAUAAAACCAGGCUUUGGUCCUGUCUGUUAAAGCAAUAAGGCUUUUUAAAAAAUAUACAGAUAUUAAUAGUAAAUAUUUGCAAGAAGUUUUGAUCUUUUAUUUUAAAAUCAAUUUCUUAACAUUUUCAACCUUCUUGUGAACUACAGCUUCUUUUAGUUUCCAUUUAAUUGACACCUUCCCUCAAAAUUCUAGGCAUUGUUUGUAAGCUAUUUUCUCCUCCUUGGUUCUGACUGUUAUGGCCUGAUAUUAAAAAAUGUUUAUCUUAGGAGCAUAGAAUGAUAGGAUAACCUGAUUCUUUACACCUGACUUUUCUUGAUGUAUUUAAAUGAUUCCAAGUAAUCAGACAAUUUCUUCUGCUUUUGUCCCUAAGUGGUAUUCUGCCCUUCAAAGUUUUCUUGUUGUUUUUACAAUGAUGCAUACUUGUAAUUUUGGACAUACACACUUUCAAUGUCUAAUUAAGUUUGGGUACUUUUCCAUAAGGUUCAUCUUCCAAGUUAUCUGGAUGAGCAUCCUAUUAGACAAACACCGUACAGGAGAGUUUUCUUUACUUUUUGGUAAUUAAAUGAGGGAAAGGAAUUUUAU